AUGCAGUUCAUCAUGAAGCCCAGUGAUGAAAAGCUGAAUAAGUUUGAGGCCAGCAUUGCUCAGGUUCUCAGGCUCUUCUUUAACCUGGAAAUAAACUGGGACCUUAAGGCUCAGCUAAGGGAGUUGAAUAGAACAGCAGCCAAAGAAAUUGAAGUUGGUGGUAGUCACGAACUAUCAUAAUGUUUGUCCCCAUAUCUCAACUGAAAUCUUUACAGAAAAUCUAAGUUCUACCUAGCAUGUGAAUGGGAGAAAAAGUUCAAUGAGAAGCACAUUAUCUUUAUUUGUUAGAUGAGAAUUCUGCCUAAGCCAAUUCAAAAAAGCCAUACAAAAAAAAAAAGCAAAAAUGUUCCAGGAGGUGCAUUCUAAUAGCUGUACACAAUGAACCAUUGAUCUUGGUCAAGGUCAAGAUCUCUUGGUCAAGGUCAAGAUCACUUGGUCUUCCCAUGUGAAACUAUGGGCAACAGAAUAUGAGCAGUGGGCUCAUAAAGGUUCAUCUGGACAAAGCAUAGCAGGACAAUGUGGAGCACAAGGCUGAAACAUUUUUGGUAUUUAUAAAGAAAGCUCACAGGCAAGGAUGCUAAUUUUAAAUUCCUAGAGUUUCAGUUGU
rnacentral:lncRNA from 10 species